rnacentral:lncRNA from 1 species
UUUAUUUUUUCUUAUUUUUAUUUAUUUACACCAAAUCUAGACAAAUUGUUCUGUUAGUCAUUUUGAUUAAAAUUGUUUUUAUACAGCACUGUAAAGAAAAGCGGGUGUCUAGUAAUUUGCAACAAUAAGUGAAUUGUUAACUGUGCGUUGUGUCGGUCGGUAAGAUUUCAAUCACGUUUACGCAACAUUGUAGAGAAAGGCUGAAUGCUUUAGAUUUGUAACAAACAGUUUCUUUUUAUGUUUAUCAAAGAAAAUAGCUGACGGUUCAUCUAGACCAUCUACGCAUGUGAGAAUUUGUCUGUGAUGUUUUCCAUCGUUUGAUAUAAUGAUCACAUUCGACGACGUUUCUCCGACAACAAACACGUGACCGUCAUUAUCUACAGUGAUGCCUAUCGGGCUCCUCAAAACUGAAUCAUCUUUAAAACUCCAAACACAUGACCCGUUACGGCUACAAC